ensembl:lncRNA
AUAAACUUCAAUACGAGGACCUAAACCUGGCAUGAAAGGUCAUCAUUAUAGCUGUGUGGGCUAAUAUUAUGCAUAUGUUUGCCUUGGGGUAAAUUGAGCCAAUGGCCAUGGGGUAAGCUGAGCAAGUGGUUAAGGCAAUGGCAAGUUGAGCAAACUGAAGUGUUUUCUUCCCAAUCGUAACGCGAGGCGUUAUCUCUGGGAUAUGAAGUAACAAGCGGGGGAAUUGUCGUCGUCCCCCAGGACUUAAAAAAAAGUUGAAGCUCAUUUCAACCAAAAUGUGUCUUCUGCAUUUAACCCAACCCCUCUGAAUUAGAGAGGUGCGGUGGGCUAGUUUUACAGUUGUGAUACUACACCCCUGAAAGGAGGGAAAUACUGACACGCAACAUCAGAGACGAAAUUAAACUUAGGACAUUUACCUGACGAAAUUAAACUUAGGACAUUUACCUGUACUGUUUGCAUGUUGAUAUCAUUGUAAUGUAGGCCUUAUUGGGGAGAUAGGCCAUGGUGAUAUCAUUUUAAUGUAGGCCUUAUUGGGGAGAUAGGCCAUGGUGAUAUCAUUGUAAUGUAGGCCUUAUUGGGGAGAUAGGCCAUGUUGAUAUCAUUUUAAUGUAGGCCUUAUUGGGGAGAUAGGCCAUGUUGAGAUGUCCAUAUUGAAACAUGUAAGUUCCUAACUUGUUUGACAAUUCGUACAGAUUUUCUGAGGGGACCCUACAUGGAGCCCCGACCCCAAGUUUGGUAACCACUGUACUAACCCCUCUCUCUGUGUCUGCUUCGGGAUUUGAUUUGAUUUGCAUUGCAGCCUCACCACUGAGCACCACAUCACUGUCUCAGUAGCCUACCCUCUGGAAAGAAAGUAUUUUUCUGCUCCGUUUAACGUUAGCUUCUCACUUCAUCCUUCUGGUUCAGUAAUACCAGCCAGACGUUAGCUUCUCACUUCAUCCUUCUGGUUCAGUAAUACCAGCCAGACGUUAGCUUCUCACUUCAUCCUUCUGGUUCAGUAAUACCUGCCAGACGUUAGCUUCUCACUUCAUCCUUCUGGUUUAGUAAUACCAGCCAGACGUUAGCUUCUCACUUCAUCCUUCUGGUUCAGUAAUACCAGCCAGACGUUCGCUUCUCACUUCAUCCUUCUGGUUCAGUAAUACCAGCCAGACGUUAGCUUCUCACUUCAUCCUUCUGGUUCAGUAAUACCAGCCAGACGUUCGCUUCUCACUUCAUCCUUCU